AUUGAACGCUGGCGGCAUGCCUUACACAUGCAAGUCGAACGGCAGCACGGACUUCGGUCUGGUGGCGAGUAGCGAACGGGUGAGUAAUACAUCGGAACGUGCCCGAUCGUGGGGGAUAACGAAGCGAAAGCUUUGCUAAUACCGCAUAAGAUCUACGGAUGAAAGCAGGGGACCGCAAGGCCUUGCGCGAACGGAGCGGCCGAUGGCAGAUUAGGUAGUUUGGUGGGAUAAAAGGCUUACCAAGCCGACGAUCUGUAGCUGGUCUGAGAGGACGACCAGCCACACUGGGACUGAGACACGGCCCAGACUCCUACGGAGGCAGCAGUGGGGAAUUUUGGACAAUGGGCGAAAGCCUGAUCCAGCCAUGCCGCGUGCAGGAUGAAGGCCUUCGGUUGUAACUAGCUUUGUACGGUAACG
rnacentral:rRNA from 1 species